GUGAUUCGUCUGUAACCCUCAGUGUUGUCCAGGCCAGUGGUGACACCACCAUGAUGAACCUUCUACAGAGGAUUUCCGACAUCUUUCAGUGGAAGACAGAGUCUGAAGAGACACCACAGGAAAAAUCCUCAAGAUAUCUCCAAGUUGAAGACUGUCAGAGGAAUUGUGACCACCCUGUGUACCGACUGUGGCUGGAUUAAUGAAUCUAUCUUUUUCAAUACUGACACGUUGUGUGGCAAAGUCCCACUGAACAUUGGGACAAGUGUCACUGCUCUUGUGGAAGAAAACGAAACAACCCAUGUAC